rnacentral:rRNA from 1 species
AGCGUAGGUGGCCUAACAUGUCAACUGUGAAAACCCGGAGCUCAACUCCGGACUUGCAGUUGAAGCUGGUAGGCUUGAGGACGGUAGAGGAAGACGGAACUGCCAGUGUAGGGGUAAAAUCCUUAGAUAUUGGCAGGAACGCCGGUGACGAAGGUGGUUUUCUGGGCCGGUUCUGACACUGAUGCUCGAAAGCCAGGGGAGCGAACG